UGGGCGCAAGCCUGAUGCAGCCAUGCCGCGUGUGUGAAGAAGGCCUUCGGGUUGUAAAGCACUUUCAGCGGGGAGGAAGGCCNNNUGGUUAAUACCUNGNGGNAUUGACGUUACCCGCAGAAGAAGCACCGGCUAACUUCGUGCCAGCAGCCGCGGUAAUACGGAGGGUGCAAGCGUUAAUCGGAAUUACUGGGCGUAAAGCGCGCGUAGGCGGUCUGUUAAGUCGGAUGUGAAAUCCCCGGGCUCAACCUGGGAACUGCAUUCGAAACUGGCAAACUAGAGUCUGGUAGAGGGGGGUGGAAUUCCCGGUGUAGCGGUGAAAUGCGU
rnacentral:rRNA from 1 species